UGCCCAAGAGUCCAUAUCGACGGCAGUGUUUGGCACCUCGAUGUCGGCUCAUCACAUCCUGGGGCUGGAGAAGGUCCCAAGGGUACGGCUGUUCGCCGUUUAAAGUGGUACGUGAGCUGGGUUUAGAACGUCGUGAGACAGUUCGGUCCCUAUCUGCCGUGGGUGUCGGAGACUUGAGAGGAGUUGCCCCUAGUACGAGAGGACCGGGG
rnacentral:rRNA from 1 species